ACCUAUGUUGCCAAAGAACAUCAGUAUAAUCUUCAUCAAGUUGCCGCUUUCCUUCCUCUGAGCUCUCUCUAUGUGACUGAAAACAAUAAGAAAAUGCCUAGAAGUCAGGCCUAGAACAUUAAAUGGUAAUAGACUCCAAACAACAGCAGAAGUCCAAGAUUGGGCAACUGAUAUUCAGUCCCAUGCACUACUUGAGCCAGUC
rnacentral:lncRNA from 1 species